AUCACUUCUUGGCCUUUUGGCUAAAGUCAAGUGUAGUAUCUGUUCUUAUCAGUUGAAUAUUUGAUAUGCCCCCUGGGACUUUUCCCCUGUGGGACAAAUA
rnacentral:snRNA from 1 species